GACGAACGCUGGCGGCGUGCUUAACACAUGCAAGUCGAACGAAGUGGCGAACGGGUGAGUAACGCGUAAUCAACCUGCCCGUCAGAGGGGGACAACAGGUGGAAACGACUGCUAAUACCGCAUAAUGAAGGAGGGGAUUGCGUUUGAUUAGCUAGUGGGAGGGUUAACGGCCCACCAAGGCGAUGAUAAGUAGCCGGUCUGGUAGGCUGAACGGCCACAUUGGGCCUGAGACACGGCCCAGACUCCUACGGGAGGCAGCAGUGGGGAAUCUUCCGCAAUGUACGAAAGUCUGACGGAGCAACGCCGCGUGAGUGAUGACGGCCUUCGGGUUGUAAAGCUCUGUUAAUCGGGACGCGGUACCGGAAUAGAAAGCCACGGCUAACUACGUGCCAGCAGCCGCGGUAAUAC
rnacentral:rRNA from 1 species